rfam:Oryctolagus cuniculus chromosome 2, whole genome shotgun sequence.
AGAAUCCAUCUGGGGUUGCGGCUCCGAAGCUGUGCGAAGUGGGCACACAAAACCAAAAGCCAGAGUUGGGAAA